rnacentral:rRNA from 1 species
GACGAACGCUGGCGGCGUGCUUAACACAUGCAAGUCGAACGGAAGGCCCUGCUUUUGUGGGGUGCUCGAGUGGCGAACGGGUGAGUAACACGUGAGUAACCUGCCCUUGACUUUGGGAUAACUUCAGGAAACUGGGGCUAAUACCGGAUAGGAGCUCCUGCUGCAUGGUGGGGGUUGGAAAGUUUCGGCGGUUGGGGAUGGACUCGCGGCUUAUCAGCUUGUUGGUGGGGUAGUGGCUUACCAAGGCUUUGACGGGUAGCCGGCCUGAGAGGGUGACCGGCCACAUUGGGACUGAGAUACGGCCCAGACUCCUACGGGAGGCAGCAGUGGGGAAUAUUGCACAAUGGGCGGAAGCCUGAUGCAGCAACGCCGCGUGCGGGAUGACGGCCUUCGGGUUGUAAACCGCUUUCGCCUGUGACGAAGCGUGAGUGACGGUAAUGGGUAAAGAAGCACCGGCUAACUACGUG